AAAAAUCUUGAUCUACACACUGAGAAGUAAAAUUUAUGAACUCUUAUUAAUCAAAACAUGGUAAAACUUUUACAGUUUUUUUUUAAAAAUAAAAUCAUGUCCUAGCUAAUAUGAAAUAGAAGAUUUUGACAUGAUAGAUGUUCAUGGACUUAAAUGCUACCUUAGUUAUAUUUUAACCUGACUUGAAUACCAAUAAUAUGUUAGAAAAUUUAAUUUUGGCAAUUUGUUUGCAUGUGUAUAAUUGCAGUGUUUCAAAGAAAAUAUUGUCAGAAAACACUAUGAGCCUGAUUGUGUUUGCAAGGUAAAUUAACGAGAAGGAAGGUACUAGCGUGUAUUAGCUGAAUUAUAUUGCCUAAGUUCAGUGACUGGCCAUAUUUUAGCCAUUGAUCUUUUUGCUCCAGUAGCUAAUAUAGGAUAUAACCUAAAUAUUUAUAAAUGUUACUUUUAGAGGGAAUACAAGCACAUUUGAAUGUAGUGAACAUUUGUUUAUAUUCACAUUGGAAGCUGUUUUAAAAUGUAGAAUUUAUGCUGAUACCUUCUUAUAAUUCAAUGUCUACUAAUAAAACUGAACUUACCCAAUUUUGAUCUCCACAUCUUUACACAAAGUAAUGUUAUCUUGCUAUUUGUGCUUAUAUUUUUCUCAAUAUGUACAAUCAUAAAAAGAAGUUUUUCAGAUAAGGAAGAAGAUGCCUGUAGUCCCAGAAUUUGGGAGAUUAGAGCAGCGCAAUCAAGAGUUUAGUACUGUACUUGACUAAUGGGGAGAUUAUAGCCAGCUGGGGCUACUCAGGCCCUCUCUAAAAAAAAAGAAAAAGAAAAAAAAAGAAGAAGAAAAUAUGAAACAAUAAGUCUCCUUUAAUUCUGAGAAUGUAUGAUAAUUCAUAAAAUAUAUGAAAUACCUUAAGCAAAUCUAACUUAAGUCCAUGUUAGUUUUGGAUGGUCAACCAUGGUCUAUGACCUAUAAUGCGAACACUUUGAACAUGUUCAUUAUAAAGAUUGUCAUGCUGAGAAUUUCAUUUCUCAGCCAUCUCCCUAGAUGAGUUGCCAGUGGAUAUGUCUAUAAAAGCAUAGAUUUAAAAUCUGACCAAAAGAGGUUAUUUAGAGAAACAACUGUGCUUCCCCCAUGUGUUUCUGUAAUAUAUAUAUAUUUCAUUCAUUCAGUAAAUGCGUGGUGAGUUCUCACUGUUUGAGUGGGCAUUCUGCCAGAACUUACCAUGAUCUUUCCAAAAACAGAAGCACUAUUAUAAAUGUUGCAAGGACAGUUCUUGAAUAUCAAGUUGAAAUAUCAAAGACAAGUAUAUAAACAGAAGGUCCUCUAUAAUCUCUCAAAUGAUGCCUACCAAAUAUUAAAGCAUACACUUGCCAGUAAUUUCUCCUCAAGUUUUUAUAUAUAAUGAUAAUGUAGUAGAAUAGCGAUUGACUUUUAAAAUUAAGUAAAAAUGAUAAGCCAGGCAGUGAGUAGAGGCACACACAGAGGCAGGUGGAUCACUGAAAUGAGGCCAGCAUGUUCUACAGAAAAGUUCCAGAAUAGAGAGUGCUACCCAGAUAAACCCUGUCUUAAGCAAACAAACUAAAACGGUAAGUAAAAAUUCUACAUUUUAUUUGAAACAUCCUUUUAAAAGUAAUGACACAUUUUGUUCUCUUGAAAUCUUUUCUGUGGAAUAACACAUUUAGUCAAACAUUUUCAAAUGUCUCAUUUGUGGAGGUUUUGUUUAAUAGUUUUCCUCUACUAGAGACUGAGUUCUGCAUAAUCAUAGACUUCUUGGCAUAUCCAGGAUUGAGGAGUCAGCUUAUGUCAGUAAUGAUUCUCAUUUCAUAAGCUAAAGAACACAUAUUUGAGAAAGUUUAGCACUGACUCCUGAGUGUCCAUCCAUGACCAUUGUUGAAAGGUGAGCUUCCUGAGUGAUUCCUGGAACAAAGAUGCUUUAUAUAAAUGUGUGAUUUAUUGUUAGCAUUGUUAGCAUGGUCAGUUUUACAAAUGAAGAACAAUAUCAUAAUUAAACAGGCUACACAUAGUUGGAUUAUUCAGUACUUACACAUUCAAAACAACUGAAAUUUUGGAAUCAUAGUUUCUUCAGACAUAAUUCUUCCAAAACAAUGUACAACACAUCUAAUCUGGAAUUUCUUAUGUGUUGGGGGAACACAGAAAUAAAAAUAAAGACUGUGUUAUUCGUAGUUUAUGUGUAAUUAUGUGUGUUUUAAGGCAUGUGCCACAACUAAUUGCUUUAGUAAAUGAUAGCUAAUAGCUUUACUAAGGCCACUAUUAUAGUCAUAAUCCUAAAUGCCAGGAGAUCAGAGAUAGUCCAAUCGAUUCACAUAUCCGUAUAUAUUACUUAUAAGUGACUAUGUGGGUGGAAUAUGCAAUAUAGAAAAUGUCUCACUGCUCUUCUCUAUGUGCAAAAUCAAACACAAGCUCUCUCCCUAGCUGCUGUCAGUCAAAUUCAGGGUACCUCAUCAAUUCACUUAAACAACUAACCAGAAAUUUUCUAAGCAAAGUAUGAUUUCAUAAUGCCAACAACAUAGAUAGCACAAAUAGGAACUUAUGAGGUAGCAAUGCUAGGGAGUCCAUAAGAAGUCCUGAGUUGAAAAACAUUUUUCUUCAAACACAUUAAUCUUUAAUCAGAAAUCUUCAAAAGUCAAGAAUACCAAAUUUUUAAUUAUUAUAUAUACUCCAGAUUUGUGCUGUAAUAAGUCUGAUGAUACAUGACACAUAAUAUUAUAAAAUACAGGAUAGACAAUGUAUCCUCUCUGUAUCCAAAUUACUUAUGUAACGUUGGUACCACAAUGGUUGUAUUAGCAGUCACACAUUAAAUGAUAUGAUCUGUCUUACAUUUUGUGACGCUGGAGUAGGGUAUGAUUGUGAUGACAGCGAUUAAUUUCAUGUUGAGGUAGAGGAAGGAAUAUGGAUGAAUGGCAAAAAAACAGGAGGAUGGAGGAUGGAGGGACGGAAAGGGAAAGAAGAAAAUAGAAUAAAGCACCUACUAGGUAAAAGCCCCUAUAUUGUGAAUGAUCCCGUGAUACCAAACAAAUAAGGAACCUGUUUUAUAUUUAAUUGACAGAUUAAGAAAUAAGUGGGUGUACAAAUGAAUUAGUCACGGUUACACAAAGCUCUGACUUGUACCUUGACAUUGUGACUCCAAAUGGGUUGCCUCUUACUAAGAGCAAGGAAGUAGAAGUAUUAUUUACAUUUUACACUGAAGACACACCACACUUCUAUUUACUAAAAGUGCUUAUAUUCUGCAAUAUUGAGCAUCUGUCCAUUUCUAGUUGGGAUAUUUAAUUAUUUACUGUGCAUUUUAUUGGGAUCAGGAAAUCAAACAGAGUGAUACAAAAAUAACCCGUAAAUGGACAGUUAUAGAUGCUAUCUUCCCCACUGGCUGAAUAAACUAGAUGUAGCAAAUGUAUCCGGAAAUAAUGAGUUUUAUCAAUUAACCCUUCAAUGCUGCUUUCUGUGUGCCAUCCAUUCUUCUGAACAAAUAAGUCCAUAUCUUUUGAGGAGUACUUAUUUUGAGUUAAUUCACUGUCACUGUGACCUCCUUUAGUAUAUUAACUAACAUGAAAACUGAUAAAAUAUAGUUCAGUAAAUAUAUUAAAUAAUAUAGUGAGGGUAUGUAAUUUCUCUUUAAAUAGUUCUCAGUUUUGAAAAUUCUACCCUAACAGUCAUGCAUUAUUUUUACACUGCAUGUUAAAAUUUCCACUAAUUAUUGGCAGGUAUUGUAUUAUUUUUACUAAGAAAUUGUUUUCUAGACUAUGACCACCCAUAACAUUAUUAAAUAAUUACACAUUCAAAACAACUGAAAUUUUGGAAUCGUAAUUUCUUCAGAAAUAUUUCUUCCAAGACAACAUACAACAUAUCUAACCUUCAACAUUCACAAAUUUCUUAGAUGUUAGGGGAAC
rnacentral:lncRNA from 1 species